rnacentral:rRNA from 2 species
CAAAACUUUCAACAACGGAUCUCUUGGUUCUGGCAUCGAUGAAGAACGCAGCGAAAUGCGAUAAGUAAUGUGAAUUGCAGAAUUCAGUGAAUCAUCGAAUCUUUGAACGCACAUUGCGCCCCUUGGUAUUCCGAGGGGCAUGCCUGUUCGAGCGUCAUUU